GCACAAAAUACGAAAAAUGAAUUACCCUAUCAACAUUUGAUUAAUAUCUUACAAAUUUUUAGCUCCCCAUCUAGAUUAAGAAAAAUCUCUGAUUGAUAGUCAAACUCAUCCUAAACUUUCCAGAAAGUAUAAAGUAUAAUAUGAAACCAUUUACAUAUUAAAUACUCUCAAUACAUACUUCUACCUUUGUUUCCUCUCCUU
rnacentral:misc_RNA from 1 species